rnacentral:tmRNA from 1 species
CCGUUUGCAUCGACGCGCGCCCCGUCCUAUAUUCGGAGGUGCCGGUUCGCCGGCUAUGACGCUAAACCCUGCUUGGAAUAAGCGUAGUGGACCCGGGGGCAGUACCCGGCGCCUCCACCAAUGACCAGGGGUCCGCGCCGCGUCGCGGGCCCCGAUCCGGGGGCGAAACAGGAUCGACACGCGUGGUAAAGAAGCAGGUUGCGUUCGGCAUGGCACCACCGUUAUCGGGCCAAACGCAAUAGUUGCCAACGACAACUAUGCUCCGGAAGCUGUCGCCGCGUAAUGCGGUGCCGGUAACCGAUCUAAGCCCCGGCCGGUAGCACGGUCGGGCGGGGUCCGGAGGGCACCUGGCAACAGAAGCCCUCCAUU